UUAUAGUAAAUGACUACUUAAAACUACACUACUUUUAUUAAAUUUCUUUUUAAUUUUAAAAGAAUUUUAAAUUAAG
rnacentral:tRNA from 1 species